ACCCUAUGGACAGUAUUGGUGUGCUGUGGUCAAUGGAGUCAUGAAGAGUCGGACAUGUCUGAACAAGCAGAACCACCCCAGAGAAUGGAAGAGAGACCCCGUUGCUCAGCAUACAUUCUAAAGGAGGCAAAAGAAUAAAAAAUUCUGUCUUACAUAUACCUGAAUAUGUACAGCUGCACUUUUUGUUUUGGUAGCAAAAACUUGUUGAAAAAUAGAUACCCAUCAUUUGAGGAACAGCUGACACAUGGUGUAUGAAGGCUAAUGGGAUUAAAAAAAACCAAAACAACAGAAUGAUGUGAAAAAAGAAGAGUCUAGAAGUGACAGGAGAUAAAUCCUUCCAGCCACCCCCAGCCUGGUCAUCUCGUGGUUUGAGUGGACACAGGGAACCCUGAGAGACCGGAAGAGUAGGACCAAAACUGCAAAGCCUGGCAUUCCUAUGGAUCGGUCAUCCCAGGAAAGACGCCCAAGGGAAUGCACCUG